rnacentral:lncRNA from 1 species
GUUUGCCAUGUUAAAAUUUCAAUUAAGUUUCAGCCAUAUUAUUAUAAAAAUAGUUUAACGCAGGUUUAAACGAGGCAUCCAAUGGGAUGUUAUCUAGCACUAAACUGAUUAUCACCGUAACAGUUUUUAUACAAUAUGCUUUCAUUCUUUAUAUAUAUAAUUCUAAUAGUGAAUUACUUCAAUGACACAGCUACUAAGAUAUAGACAGUAAAAACAAAAACAAAUUAAAGAGGGAAAUUUCACACACGUUAAUCUCAUCUGAAUUUCACUCCAAACGAGUUUGUACCUGCAACUCGCAUGAACUGAUUUCACGUGAGUUUCAAGUGAAUAUUUUACGUGAAACUCGCUUAAAUGUCAAGCACAUUAUUUUUUUGACGUGAUACUCACGUGAAUUUUCCAAAUAAACUUAUUCUAACAACAUCUAAAUUUUCAAAUCUAAUUAAAAUCACGUGAGAUAACGUGUAUGUGGUUCUCAGUUCAGGUGAACAUUGUCAUGUGAGUUUCAGGUAUAAGCUAGCUCGAGGUGUAUUUCAUUGUAUAUUUCACGUGAGCAAAGUGUGCCUGUGUACAGAGUCAAAAACAGAAAGGUCCAGCAGAUUCCAAGACAUUUCUUGCAAUAAAUAAUAAAAUAAUUUACAUUUAUUCUAGAGAAAAUAUUUAUACAAUCAUGUGUUUAAAAAUUCUAUUGCUUCAAAUUACUUCAUUUAACAUAUAAGAUUUGACUAAUCGAGCAA